GGAACCUUAAGCAAAAGCAGACGAGAUGCAACAAACGAAGCGCUUGGAACACAAACGCUGCUUAUUGAGUCUUAUAAGGAUUGGACCAAUCCUGUUGUGAGCAAGCAAAUUCGCCAAGAAAACCCCACCGAAAAUAAACAAAAUUCUAGAAUUAUAUAUUUGUUCGUUGUUGCAUUAGACAGACUAUUUUUUAGCAUUCUAGCUUUCGUGAUGCAAAAGAAGUUGAGUAAUUAAAACGCAGUAAUUGUAUAAAAAAUAUUCGGAUUUACUACCUUUAAUUAUGCAAGCCAUGCAUUUAUUAGACGCCUUUGGAAAAACGUGAGAACAAAAAAACAUUUCAAAACCGUCAAGUAGGUGUCAUUCUUGCUGUCGAGUUUUUACAAUCCGGAUCACUUUUUUAUCAAUUCGCACAGGCCCUAAGAUGGUCAUUACGAAAUCAAAAUCAGCCAAAGCAUGAACGGUGGAAUAUGCACCGGCUGUAGCCAACAACUAAGCUAUGGCUGCCGCUCUGGCUAAGUACCACCAAAUUUGGUAAUCGCCCAAAGGGCAUUUAAUAAACCGAAAUAUCGAAGAAAGCGUCUACGGAAAUGCGUUAAUUGUGCCUUUAAGGCCGCAGGAGGAAUCAGCGUCGACUGCUUGUGCAACAUAGACACUACCGCGGACACAAAAAGCGAAGCAGAAAGACUGAUGCAGCGUACGGGAAAAUCUUUCUUUAAGUUGCUCUUAAACCGUCCCGUAACUGUUGAUGGGCGCGACAAUCAGAUGAUGCAACCUCCCUUGGCGCAUGCGGAAAGCAGAAAACACAAACCCCAUGGACCAAAAACCGUGGCUGUUAUUAAGGAACGAUUUCCAGAUGGCUGUUCUAUUCGGGGGUUAAGUUCUGCCAGGCCAACAAUCAACAUGUAUUUCGAAAUUUCUGGUCUGCCAGCUGGCAUAAAAUACGGAUUGAUCGGUAAAAACUGCUGCGUGCGUCGAUCGGGUUGAUUCACAUCGAAAACCGUACGAGAACGGAUCGCAACAAAAAGAAAUGACAUGAAACGCAUCUCUCCAUUUUUUCCAGACAUCGAAUAUUUGCAGGUGAUUGGCAAUGCAGUGGCCUUGAAAACACAGAAGAAAGAGAACCUUAAAUAAAAUAAAACAAAACAACCUCUUAGAGCGCAUUCUGAGCUUUUAUUUUUUUUUUUAUUUUGGCAAAAUUCAUUAUUACAUAUAAAGUACAAAGAUUUGAUAAGUUUUCCAAAUAAACAAACUCUAUUCUUUGAAUUGUGCAGACAUCAAUAUGUUGUAUUGACAUCAAAGCAGUUAAAAAUAGUAGUCUAAUAUUACAAAACACAAAGAUUUAAACUCAUAUCAUAAAAUCUAAAUGGGCGUUUAUUUCUAAAAUGAGUUCUUUCUUCAUUUUCGACUUCAGAAGUAGGUAAGUGAUGAAAAUGAAUACCAACGAUGCGUGAAGCAAUGCAAAAUGUACUCAUUUAUUAGUCUUAUUUUUAUAUCUACAUUAUUUCAAGCCUCAUUUUUGAAUUGAGUAUCAACUCAUUAAAAAAUAAUAAUUUGCUUUUAUGUUUCGGUACAUUAAAAUACCGUUACCCUAAAAUAGAAAGGCUUUGUCUGACUUUUUUUGCUUUUUUACAGAGUAUUUAUACAAUUUUUAUAAAAACUAAAGAUCUUCAGUUAAGAUUUUUUUGUAUUAUAUUGGCUUUUAUUAAACAGCAACUAAUUUUUUGAUGUAGUAGUUGAUUUUAAGUUCGAUUAAGUCUGUUGAAUAAUCUACUCACUUUUGUACAGAGAGUAAAAUGAGUUAGGGCCUUUCUAAAUUAAGGUAACGGUACAUAUCGUUUACUGAAAGAGUGUCAUUUUCCAAAAAUUGGAGAAUAACGGCAUUUAAAUUUUUGAAUUUAUAUACAUAUGUGUGUAUACUCACAUAGUAAAAAUGAAUACUUACAUAUUUCGUUCUAGUGAGUUACUAGUAUUCGUUACAGCAAUGCAAAUUUUUACACAACAUAGAACAGGUAGCGUUCAUUUCUGCAUAUUUUUAACUCGAUUUUGGAUUAUGACACCCUUGCAGCAAAUGUGCGAUAUGUAUAUAGCAUAUCGAGGGCUUAUAUUCAAUACCCUCAAACUGCAAUUUUUUCAGAAACUACUUUGUGAUGUUAGAACCCAUCUGGGAUUUGCCUGUCAUCACUGAUGUUGAUUCCGACUUUGCAAUGUAAUUGUAAAUUCUUCUGUCAAGCGUUAUACAAGGUCAGCAUUAAUAUCACCAAUGACAGUUAAGUGUUAGGUGGAUUUUUAUAUCAGAAUCGCAUUUUUGUGAAAAAUGAAGAUAGAGGGUGUUGAAUAUAAGCACUCGAUAUGUAGAUUACUAAAUAUAGGCAAAAAGGUGUACGAGUGUUGCUUUUUAUAUAUUACGCCUUGCAAAACUACUUGUGAUGAGCUGUAAUUCGAUAUUUUUAUCGAAAAGUUUGGUAUUUUUUAGCAUAAACUUACAUAUAACGUUCUCUUUUACGAGCUUUAUUUUAUUUUUUUCCAGUGAGAUUGUUCUUCUCGUGAAAAUUUUCUUGUGAUGAUUUAUUACGAUUUUCGACGUGGAUUAUCGAGACAGGAGUGCAUUGAUUAACUUACUUCGACUUUUGGCGUUGUAGCACUACACUUAGCCACUGUGAAAUGCUGAUACGAGUUCCAACGUGGCCGUCGAUCCUUGCAGGAUGAAUUUCGUGAUGGUCGUUCAAAAACAGUUGUUGUGCCACAAAAAAUCGAUGCUGUGCGUCAAUUGAUAACGUAAGAUCGUCAGGUGACAUAUCGCGAGAUAGAGACAUCCUUGGGCAUUACUGAGACCAGCAUACAUUCUACAUUGCAUGAACAUUUGUCCGUAAAGGAGGUUUGUUCUCGUUGGAUACCGCAUAAUUUGAAAGUUUAAAAAUUGGUUCAAGCGAAUGCAGAAGUGUAUUGACUUCUAAGGAGAAUAUUUUGAAAAACAGUAGAGCCACAAGUUAAGAGACCUAUUGGCUGAUGAACAAUUAAAAAAAAAAACUUAAUCCGAUCGAAAAAUCCGCAUGGACAUGUUUUUGAAAUGGUGUUCGUAGUUUUAUUGGAAACCACAAAGCCGAAAACGUUGAAGAGUUGGUCAGCAACUUUUUAACAGCCUACAAUAAUAUGGGAUGCAAUAUGUUGCUCAAGAUAAGCUUCUUACACUGACAUUAAAAUUUUUUCCUGAAAAUUUGGGUGCCGUUAGCGAAGAACACGGCGAGCGGUUCAUCGGGAUAUAUCUUAACAUAGAAAAAUGGUACCAGGGAUAAUGGAGUCCAGAUUUGUUAGCUGACUACUGUUGUACACUAAAAAGAGAUGUACUUGAUGCUAAAUGUUUCCGAAAAUCUUAAAUAAAAUUAAAAGAUUAUUUCUUUUUCUUCAUUAAAUACAGUUUUCAAGCGUAUUUCAUUAAAUUUUACUUAAAUGCUGUUGCGGAAAAACUGAGGGUGACUGAAUUAUUUUAAAAAUGUGGAUUAGUUACAGGUUAGCUGUAGAUACAAAAUAACCCUUUCAAUUUCAUUUAACUUUUAUUAAGGUAAUUUUUGGGCAUCAGUGUUAUUUUACUGUUUUCGGUAUUAGGCGCAGAAUAUAAAAGACAACCCUCGUAAUAUGCAUAGUAAGACCUGUAGCUCGUUUCUGUAACAAUUCUCUAUCAAGGCGAAUUGAGAUAUGAAUUCGCCGCCCUGUUCUCUACUGCUAA